rnacentral:rRNA from 1 species
UACGUAGGGUGCAAGCGUUGUCCGGAAUUAUUGGGCGUAAAGAGCUCGUAGGCGGUCUGUCGCGUCGGCUGUGAAAUCCCGAGGCUCAACCUCGGGUCUGCAGUCGAUACGGGCAAACUGGAGUGUUGCAGGGGAGACUGGAAUUCCUGGUGUAGCGGUGAAAUGCGCAGAUAUCAGGAGGAACACCGAUGGCGAAGGCAGGUCUCUGGGCCGAUACUGACGCUGAGGAGCGAAAGCGUGGGGAGCGAACAGG